CUACCCCUAUUUUGGGGGAUUUUUAUUUUUUUUAUCUCCCAAAUGGGUGAUUAUUAAUAUUUGUUUUUACUUUUCAUUUAAUGAAAAUUUGUGGUUCAAAGUAUUUUUAACUAUAACCUAAUUUCACAAUAAAUAGGUUUAGAGAACUUUAACCUUGUUCGACAUAAGUUGUUUAGUAUCAAAUUUUCAAAGCAUAAAUUUACAGAACUUUUGUCUUUGUCCGGCAUAAGUUAGAGAACUUUAGCCUUGGUACGGCAUAAUUUGUGUAUUAUUUAAUUAGCAAAGCAUAAAUUAAAGAGCACUCCAAAGUUGGUGCAUUUCGCCCUUAUUGACAUGACAAUUGACAUAGAAGAUUAGAAGGCCAUACAUUAUGAAGGGAAGGACAUGCAAGAAACAGACACAGAGGCAUGUGCCCGCCCUCCAUUGUGACAUGGUACGUUUGUCAAAAAGCCGUCCACCGUGCGCGAGCACGAGACACAGGCAGAAUCACAUGGCAACAAGACGUGCAUCGGGCCAUUUGCGAUCGAGGAGCAACGAUAUUGGUAAUGGAACAAACAGAGGACAAGAACCCACAUGAUUUGAUUCUCACAAUUGAUUUAAACACAUCUUAUAGCCAUCUUAGGGUAACAUGGAUGCUGUCAAAGUCAAAUGGUUUUCUGUCUUAUGCCCAUGUCUCUCUUCUUUUUCUUAUCUUCCUUAUAAUAUUAUAAAUGAACGUCGUUUUCAAUUUGAUGUUUACUAGACAAGACUUCAACAGACAUGCUUAUGAAAUUUAUUACUUCCUCCGUUUAAAAAAAAUGAC
rnacentral:lncRNA from 1 species